rnacentral:lncRNA from 1 species
CUCGGGGGUGGGAGCUUCGGCCGCCCACGCUGCCCCUCGGUUUGUGGGUUCACCUCCCAGCUCCCGAGCGAAAGGUUUACGGGGUCGCCUCCCAGCGCGAGCGCGAGCUAGCGUCGUUCCCGGCUUGUAGCCCGUAGCCGGGCGGUGCUGCGUGGCCCAGGUCCAUUAGAUUUAAGUUGCGAGUUCUCUCUGGGCACCAGUAAAUGUGGACAUGCCAGUUGGGAGAUAAGAAGAUUGCAGCCAAAAGAAGAACCAUGGCUUUGGAAGGUGGAGUCCAGUCUGAGGAGGUGGGCACUGUCCUUCAUCAGUUCACAGUGUGUGGAUACUGUUCACGUUGAUUAAUUAAGAGUUACCAGGGCCUUCACUGCCCUGGACCGCAGAUUGGGCUCCCAGAUACAGGCAUCAGACCUGGCACUUCUUCAGGAGGUUCCUGGUCUGUGUAGGAGAGAAA